rnacentral:pre_miRNA from 1 species
UUGUAUUUGAAUUGUAUAGGACUGUAUUCACAGCAUGAAACAGGGGAUUACAACUGUUUUUAAACGGAAAGUGAAUCAAUUAACAUAAUAGACACCU